CCAUCCCGAACACAGAAGUUAAGCCCAUAUACGUCGAAAGUACUUGGCUGGCGACGGCCUGGGAGGAUAGAUAGUUGCUGAUU
rnacentral:rRNA from 1 species